rnacentral:lncRNA from 1 species
GCUCAGUGCAGCGGGGACAGGGCGAAGCGGUCUGCGCCCACGGAGCGCACGUCUCUGUUCGCAACGCAGCGCUACCCUUGCCCCCCUCGGCUGCCCACUCCAGACGUCCAACGGCUCAGCGCGCGCACGAUGCCCUCGGCCACCAGCCACAGCGGAAGCGGCAGCAAAUCGUCGGGACCGCCGCCGCCGUCCGGUUCCUCCGGGAGUGAGGCGGCGGCCGGGGCAGCUGCGCCGGCUUCUCAGCAUCCGGCAACCGGCACCGGCGCGGUCCAGACCGAGGCCAUGAAGCAGAUUCUCGGCGUGAUCGACAAGAAACUUCGGAACCUUGAGAAGAAAAAGGUGCGAGGAGAUAAUGGAGAGGGAGGGCUUGUGGCUCCAGCCCUACUCCGGUCUCUGCGGUGGAUGGAGCUUCUUGCCCAGAAAACGGGCGCCUCGGGGAGGUGCCUGUCACCUGACCCGAACGCGGCGCUGCCUCUAGGCCUCGGUUAC